rnacentral:rRNA from 1 species
AGCUCCAAUAGCGUAUAUUAAAGUUGUUGCGGUUAAAAGCUCGUAGUUGGGUUUCUGCCGUGGCCCUGCGGUCCGCGCUUUGCGCGAGAAUUCGUUGCGGCAUCGGCAUCCCUCGGGCGCCCGCGUUUGCGCUUGGUUGCGUGGCGCAGACUCCCGAGCGUUUACUUUGAGGAAAUUAGAGUGUUCACGGCAGGCGCACGCCAGGAUAUGUUAGCAUGGAAUAAUGCCAUAGGGCCCUGGUUCUAUUUCGUUGGUUUCUAGAGUUGGGGCAAUGAUUAAU